GCAAGACUGAUUGCGAAACUCACCGUUGUUCGUGCAAGAAAGCCAUGAUCCAAUGUACAGAUGUAUGUACUUGUGCUGGGUGUAUGAAUGCAGCGAUUGAUGACGAACAGUCAGACAAAGAGAUGGAAGAAGAGGAAGAGCUCGAUUUGGAUAUGGAUGAUGAUAUUUAAAGUGGCUCCCUACAUUUUAUAGAAAUGUUAAAAAUGCACAAAUUAGAUCAACUCUUUGAAGAGAUGUUAUUUGCUAGAAAUCAAAAAUAACACUUCACUAAAACAUACGCAUGGUUACCCCCCAUUUUUUAUUUCAGGAAACAUUUUCUUGUAGUACGACGAAAUAUUUGACCAAUUUUAAAAACAAAUCUGUUGAGCUAAAUUUAAAAUAAUUAUAAAC